AACGAACGCUGGCGGCAUGCCUAACACAUGCAAGUCGAACGAGACCUUCGGGUCUAGUUGCGCUCGGGUGCGUAACGCGGGGGAACCUGCCCUUAGGUUCGGAAUAAUUCCCUGAAGGGGGUGCUAAUACAGGAUAAUGUAUUCGCACAAAAGAUUUAUGGCCUUGGGGUGGGCCUGGGUUGGAUUAGCUAGUUGGUAGGGUAAAAGCCGACCAAGGCGACGAUCCAUGGCUGGUCUGAGAGCAAGAUCAGCCACACUGGGACAGGGACACGGCCCAGAGUCGUACGAGAGGGAGCAGGGGGGAAUAAUGGACAAUGGGCGAGAGCCUGAGCCAGCAAUGCCGCGAGAGCGAUGUAGGCGUUAGGAAUGUAAAGCGCUUUUACCCGGGAUGGUAAGGCGGGAACCGGGAAAAAAGGCCCGGGCAACCUCGGU
rnacentral:rRNA from 1 species